rnacentral:rRNA from 1 species
UACGGAGGGGGCUAGCGUUGUUCGGAAUUACUGGGCGUAAAGCGCACGUAGGCGGCUUUGUAAGUUAGAGGUGAAAGCCCAGGGCUUAACCCUGGAAUUGCCUUUAAGACUGCAUCGCUUGAAUCCAGGAGAGGUGAGUGGAAUUCCGAGUGUAGAGGUGAAAUUCGUAGAUAUUAGGAAGAACACCAGUGGCGAAGGCGACUCGCUGGACAAGUAUUGACGCUGAGGUGCGAAAGCGUGGGGAGCAAACAGG